ensembl:lncRNA MIR924HG MIR924 host gene
AGGCUGACAUCUUCAGGAGGCAUAUGGAGGUAAUGGUUAACUUUGCUACAGUGAAGACCAAGGUAAAUUGGGUGCACUGAAGAGAAAAACCUGACCACUUCUGCAGCUGUGCAUCUGGAGUCUGAGUUGUACUGCGACAUUAGCUCUUUUGACUAGAUGUGAUGACAGACUGUCUUUGGUCCAUUCUCUUUUAUUGCCUUGGAAGAGAAUAAAUGAGGAGUAGUUCUCACCCAUUGCAGCUGAGGCAUCACACCUGUAAUGGGAUUAACAAGAUGAUAAUAUAUCUUUUGCCAAGACCACAUACUAGCAGAAGAAUUCCAAAUGUGCUACCAUCCAUGUAGUUUUACUUGAAAAACCCCCUUGGAAAUUAACAAUAAGGCACUGACUGGAGCUGAAUUUGCAAAUGUUUUAGGAAGAAACUUUAUCUCAGACUACCCUUGAUGUAUCAAAAUAUUUAAAGCAAUUGGCAAAGGCAGUGAGCAAUUCACUCUCAGGCACAUGAAUAUCACCGGGAGAGGGCUGAAUGUUCAGACCAUAUGAUGUCCUGAAAAUUCUUCCACAAUAUUUAACCAACACUUUCCAGAAAAACUUCAUUUAUCUCCAUGUACCAAUAUUUUGGGGUCCAGCCCAAUUCCUGUCCCUUCAGUGAAGCCUUAUUUAAUUUUACCAAUAAAUAAUAGCUCUCUUUUUUGAA